rnacentral:rRNA from 1 species
GACAGAGGGUGCAAACGUUGUUCGGAAUUACUGGGCGUAAAGCGCGUGUAGGCGGCAGCGUGUGUCGGGCGUGAAAUCCCAUGGCUCAACCAUGGAAGUGCACCCGAAACUGCGCAGCUAGAGUCCUGGAGAGGAAGAUGGAAUACUUGGUGUAGAGGUGAAAUUCGUAGAUAUCAAGUGGAACACCGGUGGCGAAGGCGGUCUUCUGGACAGUGACUGACGCUGAGGCGCGAAAGCCAGGGGAGCAAACGGG